UACGUAGGGUGCAAGCGUUAAUCGGAAUUACUGGGCGUAAAGCGUGCGCAGGCGGUUUUGUAAGUCUGUCGUGAAAGCCCCGGGCUCAACCUGGGAAUUGCGAUGGAGACUGCAAGGCUAGAAUCUGGCAGAGGGGGGUAGAAUUCCACGUGUAGCAGUGAAAUGCGUAGAGAUGUGGAGGAACACCGAUGGCGAAGGCAAUCCCCUGGACCUGUACUGACGCUCAUGCACGAAAGCGUGGGGAGCAAACAGG
rnacentral:rRNA from 1 species